GUCUCAAUUAUUGGUUUCACUUUACCUACCAACAUCUUCAAUCUUCUCUCUAGUUUUCUCUCGCACGGAUUCUUCCGGUUGAUUCUAUAACCUAAUCUUCUCAAAUACAAAGAUCCGUAGCUAAAUCUUGCAGACUCGGACUCUUCGUCGAACAAAACAGUUAUGGAUCCUAAUAACAACGCUCAUUCGUUGUUAAAGUUGAUUAAGGACUAUGAUCCUAUAUUUUUGGAAAUACCGUAUGAUUUUGCAACCUUAUUUUGGGGAGAACAACUUCCAUAUGAUCAAUCUCUUAAAAUUAUUGAUGACGACUUAUCAUGGGUGGUUAGAGUUAAAAGAAAUAUGUCGGGCCCUGUCUUAGGUGAUGGCUUAACCAAAGUCGUUAGAGAUUCUGGUCUCAAAAACAAUGAUUAUCUAUUGUUGAAGGCUAUUGGACCAUCGACAUUGUAUCUUUCAGUCUUUAAAUCAUGCAUUUUUUGAGAACUCCUUUAUCUCUAAAAUUAUACCUGAUGAUACCUUCAUUGUAAGGGCUAUAUACAAUAUAGACUAAAUUGAAAAAUCAA